rnacentral:tRNA from 1 species
GGUGGCGUAGCUCAGUCGGCAGAGCAAGCGGCUCAUAUCCGCUUGGUCAGGGGUUCAAGUCCCUUCGCCACUA